AUUGAACGCUGGCGGAAUGCUUUACACAUGCAAGUCGAACGGCAGCACGGGGCAACCUGGUGGCGAGUGGCGAACGGGUGAGUAAUACAUCGGAACGUGCCCAAUCGUGGGGGAUAACGUAGCGAAAGUUACGCUAAUACCGCAUACGAUCUACGGAUGAAAGCGGGGGAUCGCAAGACCUCGCGCGAAUGGAGCGGCCGAUGUCAGAUUAGGUAGUUGGUGGGGUAAAGGCUCACCAAGCCAACGAUCUGUAGCUGGUCUGAGAGGACGACCAGCCAAACUGGGACUGAGACACGGCCCAGACUCCUACGGGAGGCAGCAGUGGGGAAUUUUGGACAAUGGGCGCAAGCCUGAUCCAGCCAUUCCGCGUGCAGGAUGAAGGCCUUCGGGUUGUAAACUGCUUUUGUACGGAACGAAACGGUUCUCUCUAGUACAGGGGGCUAAUGACGGUACCGUAAGAAUAAGCACCGGCUAACUACGUGCCAGCAGCCGCGGUAAGAC
rnacentral:rRNA from 1 species